rnacentral:rRNA from 1 species
GUCCAUGCCGUAACGUUGGGAACUAGAUGUAGGGACCUUUCCAGGGUUUCUGUGUCGUAGCUAACGCAUUAAGUUCCCCGCCUGGGGAGUACGGUCGCAAGAUUAAACUCAAAGGAAUAGACGGGGACCCGCACAAGCGGUGGAGCAUGUGGUUUAAUUCGAUGAUACGCGAGGAACCUUACCAGGGCUUAAAUGUAGAUUGACAGGACUGGAACAGUUUUUCUUCGGACAAUUUACAAGGUGCUGCAUGGUUGUCGU